UUCAAAUUGAGAGUUUGAUCCUGGCUCAGGAUGAACGCUGGCGGCGUGCCUAAUACAUGCAAGUCGAACGCACAGCGAAAGGUGCUUGCACCUUUCAAGUGAGUGGCGAACGGGUGAGUAACACGUGGACAACCUGCCUCAAGGCUGGGGAUAACAUUUGGAAACAGAUGCUAAUACCGAAUAAAACUUAGUGUCGCAUGACACAAAGUUAAAAGGCGCUUCGGCGUCACCUAGAAAUGGAAAUGAUUUUAGUUUGACGGUACCAUACCAGAAAGGGACGGCUAAAUACGUGCCAGCAGCCGCGGUAAUACGUAUGUCCCGAGCGUUAUCCGGAUUUAUUGGGCGUAAAGCGAGCGCAGACGGUUUAUUAAGUCUGAUGUGAAAGCCCGGAGCUCAACUCCGGAAUGGCAUUGGAAACUGGUUAACUUGAGUGCAGUAGAGGUAAGUGGAACUCCAUGUGUAGCGGUGGAAUGCGUAGAUAUAUGGAAGAACACCAGUGGCGAAGGCGGCUUACUGGACUGCAACUGACGUUGAGGCUCGAAAGUGUGGGUAGCAAACAGGAUUAGAUACCCUGGUAGUCCACACCGUAAACGAUGAACACUAGGUGUUAGGAGGUUUCCGCCUCUUAGUGCCGAAGCUAACGCAUUAAGUGUUCCGCCUGGGGAGUACGACCGCAAGGUUGAAACUCAAAGGAAUUGACGGGGACCCGCACAAGCGGUGGAGCAUGUGGUUUAAUUCGAAGCAACGCGAAGAACCUUACCAGGUCUUGACAUCCUUUGAAGCUUUUAGAGAUAGAAGUGUUCUCUUCGGAGACAAAGUGACAGGUGGUGCAUGGUCGUCGUCAGCUCGUGUCGUGAGAUGUUGGGUUAAGUCCCGCAACGAGCGCAACCCUUAUUGUUAGUUGCCAGCAUUCAGAUGGGCACUCUAGCGAGACUGCCGGUGACAAACCGGAGGAAGGCGGGGACGACGUCAGAUCAUCAUGCCCCUUAUGACCUGGGCUACACACGUGCUACAAUGGCGUAUACAACGAGUUGCCAACCCGCGAGGGUGAGCUAAUCUCUUAAAGUACGUCUCAGUUCGGAUUGUAGUCUGCAACUCGACUACAUGAAGUCGGAAUCGCUAGUAAUCGCGGAUCAGCACGCCGCGGUGAAUACGUUCCCGGGUCUUGUACACACCGCCCGUCACACCAUGGGAGUUUGUAAUGCCCAAAGCCGGUGGCCUAACCUUUUAGGAAGGAGCCGUCUAAGGCAGGACAGAUGACUGGGGUGAAGUCGUAACAAGGUAGCCGUAGGAGAACCUGCGGCUGGAUCACCUCCUUUCUAAGGA
rnacentral:rRNA from 1 species